CGAUAUUAAACCAUUAGCAAAUUAAAUAACAGAAAUGGUAGUUCUCUAUAUCAGACUUAUGGAGAUGAUACAAGAAUAACAUGUGUACCUUUGUCAUCUGUAAGUACUAAGGUAUAGGCACCCACUAAGACCAACUCUUAAUAAAUUAUGGCCCAAAUUCUAUAACCACCACAAUUGCUUCAUUGUGUUUGGUAGAGCUUAGAGAUGGCAGUUUGCUGAUGCCAGAAAGAAUCAAAUCUCUGAUGUUCUCAUUUAUUAACUUCACUGAAUCCUCUGUAAUCUUGCUUCAUCUCACGCCUGAUAUUGUCAUGUACAUACUUGUAAUCUUUAGUCAAAACC
rnacentral:lncRNA from 1 species